rnacentral:rRNA from 1 species
UGAGUACGAGCUGCUACGGCAGCGAAGUGGGUGAUGUCAAGCUUCCAAGAAAAGCCCUAUACCCGUUAAGGCAUGACGGCCUGUACCCGAAACCGACACAGGUGGGGUGGUAGAGAAUACCGAGGGGCGCGAGAUAACUCUCUCUAAGGAACUCGGCAAAAUGGCCCCGUAACUUCGGGAGAAGGGGUGCCACCGCAAGGUGGUCGCAGUGAAGAGGCCCAGGCGACUGUCUACCAAAAACACAGGUCUCCGCUAAGUCGCAAGACGAUGUAUGGGGGCUGACGCCUGCCCAGUGCCGGAAGGUUAAGGAAGCUGGUCAGCGCAAGCGAAGCUAGCGACUGAAGCCCCGGUGAACGGCGGCCGUAACUAUAACGGUCCUAAGGUAGCGAAAUUCCUUGUCGGGUAAGUUCCGACCCGCACGAAAGGCGUAACGAUCUGGGCGCUGUCUCGGAGAGAGGCUCGGCGAAAUAGAAUUGUCUGUGAAGAUGCGGACUACGUGCACCCGGACAGAAAGACCCUAUGAAGCUUUACUGUAGCUUGGUAUUGUGCCCGGGCUCUGAAUGCGCAGGAUAGGUGGGAGGCUUUGAUCCAUUGCUUGUGGGUAAUGGUGAGCCAACGGUGAGAUACCACUCUUUCAGAGCUAGGGUUCUAACCCUCACCCGUUAUCCGGGGAGGGGACAGUAUCAGGUGGGCAGUUUGACUGGGGCGGUCGCCUCCUAAAAGGUAACGGAGGCGCGCAAAGGUUUGCUCAGGCUGGUUGGAAAUCAGCCGACGAGUGUAAAAGCAGAAGCAAGCUUGACUGUGAGACCAACAAGUCGAACAGGGACGAAAGUCGGCUUUAGUGAUCCGACGGUUCUGAGUGGAAGGGCCGUCGCUCAACGGAUAAAAGUUACUCUAAGGAUAACAGGCUGAUCUCCCCCAAGAGUUCACAUCGACGGGGAGGUUUGGCACCUCGAUGUCGGCUCAUCGCAACCUGGGGCUGAAGUCGGUCCCAAGGGUUGGGCUGUUCGCCCAUUAAAGCGGUACGCGAGCUGGGUUCAGAACGUCGUGAGACAGUUCGGUCCAUAUCCGGUGCAUGCGUAAGAACAUUGACAGGAGUUCUCCCUGGUACGAGAGGACCGGGAGGAACGCACCUCUGGUGUACCAGUUAUCGUGCCAACCGUAAACGCUGGGUAGCCAUGUGCGGAGAGGAUAACCGCUGAAAGCAUCUAAGUGGGAAGCCCACCUGAAGAUGAGUGUUCUCAUGGCUUAAGCCAGUAAGGUCACGGGAAGAACACCCGUUGAUAGGCUCUACGUGGAAGCGCAGCAAUGCGUGAAGCGGAGGAGUACUAAUAGACCGAGGGCUUGACC